UACGUAGGGUGCAAGCGUUGUCCGGAAUUAUUGGGCGUAAAGAGCUCGUAGGUGGCCUGUCGCGUCGGCUGUGAAAACUCGGGGCUCAACUCCGAGCUUGCAGUCGAUACGGGCAGGCUAGAGUUCGGCAGGGGAGACUGGAAUUCCUGGUGUAGCGGUGAAAUGCGCAGAUAUCAGGAGGAACACCGGUGGCGAAGGCGGGUCUCUGGGCCGAUACUGACACUGAGAAGCGAAAGCAUGGGGAGCGAACAGG
rnacentral:rRNA from 1 species